CCUGUCUUUUCCUUUGGCCUUGUUUUUACCUGCAAGACAAGGAGAAAGAGAGCAAUCAGUCAGCACUUGGAAUCAAGCUUCCAGCCAGGAACUGACUGCCUGGAACCCCUUACCUGAUUACUUACCUGGCAUUGCUCUCGAGUACUCAUCUUCAACAUCUUAUGUUUCCAGGGAAGAUUCCGCAUCUGCUUGAGGAACAGAUAGGGCAAGUGCGAAGGAUACAAGGAAGCAUGUGGAGACAAGCGUAACAGCACACGUGCCGAUACAUCCAUUACUCUGUCAAAAGCAAAAGUAUCCCAUAUCAGCAGGGUGGAACGUACUCUAGAUUUGAUGGACUUGUUUUGACCCUCAAAUUCUUCAGUCGGCCUUAUACUCUGGAGGAAACCAGAAAACCCUCCAGCUCAGUUCAAGAAUAAGCCUGUGGAAAGUUACUUCUUCAAAAGCAAAAGUAUCUCAUAUCAUCUCUUCUCAUUUUUCUUCUCUUUAUCCUUCAUGCUGCUGCAAGAUGGGGAGAAGGUGAACAAUCAGUCGGAGCUCUGAUUGCUUACCUUGUCUGUCACCUCUUUCAGCAGACCCCCUAGCUCGGCGACUUGGGGGACUCCUACUACAUGGUUUGUAUCGCGCUUGACCAAGCCUGAAACUACAAGUAAGCUUCAAGUGAAAUUGAUACAUUACCUUGUGCAUCUCCACCAGUUAAAGAUACCACCCCUGGAUGGAGGAAGAGUACUUCCAGAGAAGAUGCCACAUCUACCUAUGAGACAGAUAAGGCAAGUCAAGACGACACCACACUCCGAUACUUAGAAGUUUCGUGAUUACGAGAUCAUUCUCCCACAAUAUUUCCUAAUGUCAUUUGUACUAAAUCAUUCACUUGUACUCACUAAAGGAGAGCUUGAACCUAUGUACUUGUGUAAACCCUUCACAAUUAAUGAGAACUCUUCUAUUCCGUGGACGUAGCCAAUCUGGGUGAACCACGUACAUCUUGUGUUUGCUUUCCUAUCUCUAUCCAUUUAUAUACUUAUCCACACUAAUGACCGGAGCAAUCUAGCGAAGAUCACAAAAAGCGACCGUUUUCGCUACCUAGGAUCUAUCUUGCAAGAGAACGGAGAAUUAGAUGGAGAUCUCAACCAUAGAAUACGAGCUGGAUGGAUGAAGUGUAAGAGUGCAUCCGGCGUGUUGUGUGACCGUCGUAGGCCACUGAAGCUCAAGGGAAAAUUUUAUAGGACGGCAAUAAGGCCAGCGAUGUUGUAUGGCACAGAAUGUUGGGCGGUGAAGCAUCAACACGUACACAAAAUGGGUGUAGCGGAGAUGAGGAUGCUUCGUGGGAUGUGUGGGCACACGAGAAAGGAUAAGAUUGGGAAUGAGGAUAUCCGAGGUAAAGUAGGAGUAGCCGAAAUUGUAGGAAAGAUGAGAGAAAAUCGGCUCCGGUGAUUUGGACAUGUGCAAAGAAGGCCGAAUGACGCUCCGGUUCGAAGAUGUGACUACGGGACAGAGGUUCAGGGCCGAAGGGGUAGAGGAAGACCUAGGAAAACUUUGGAAGAGACUCUAAGAAAAGACUUAGAGUACUUGGAUCUAACGGAGGACAUGACACAAAACCGAGCGCAAUGGCGUUCUAGGAUUCAUAUAGCCGACCCCACUUAGUGGGAAAAGGCUUUGUUGUUGUUGUUGUUGUUGUAUUCUUAUAAUCGGAAUUAUUCAUAUUAUAAAUUACUGUGUCAAUAUCAUCUCCACAAAAAAAAUCAAUUAAAUAUAAGAUCGUUUGGUCAUGAAACUGUGUAAAAAUAGAUGAACCGAUCCGGUACAUGAAUUCCGAAACUUCUAUCUACUUGCUAUAAUUUAUUGACUAAACAAUCUUAGUUUUAAUUAAUUUUUUUUAGAGAUGAUCUUUAAUUAUAAAGUAAUUUAUAAUAUGAAUGAUUCUGAUCAUAAGUACGAACUUCUUCUCAAUCUUGAGAAGCCAAGCCUUCCUCAAAAGUUAAAUAAAAAACAAAACCAAAAUGAUGCUCGGCUUCCUGGGUACUCAGCUAAACUCUCCACCUCCUUUCAUCUUACAAGCUUCUAGAUUUAGAUUUGUCUCAAAUGACAUGCCAACUAAUCUGCCCAGCUCAAUUUUGAUUCUUUGAAAUUUCCAGUGCCUCUACUUUUUCAUUUCUAAAUCUUACUUACUCCCAUUAUAUAUAAUUAGUUUUUUUUAUAUAUAUAGAUUUAUAAAGAUGCUUUGUCUAGAUAUGAAAGACAUAGUAGUGAUUCAAAGAGAUCAUUUGGAGCCAAAAAUAGUUAGGUGUAGUCAAAUUCGGAUUUGAGAGUAUUUUAAAAGACUUUAAAAUCCUAGUAUAGUCAAUUAAAAGAUUUUAAAGGAUUUUAAACUCUAUCCAAAUCUAAGUGUAUUAAAAAAAUUAAGAUUUUGGAGGAUUUCAAUAAGUUGUGGAUUUUGUAGGAUUUGAAAGCAAGAAGUAUGUCACAGUCCCGGAGAUGUACGUUAAUUAUUUAUCGGAGGUGUGAAAAGUCGGAGUUACCCCUGGACGUUGAGUUGUAUUAUUGGUUUAAUUGUGUUUUUGGACCAAUAUUAUUAAAUCCUAAUUGUUUGGAAUCAAUUAGGAUUAGAGUUUGGUGUAUUGUGGGUUGUUGACUAUUUUGGACCACACAUCACUCCAUUCUCUCUCUCACUCCCGUGCACUCUCUCUCGGUUUCACUCUCUCUCUCCUUUGAACUCGUACGGACAAUCACCCAAAACCCUUGAAACUUCACGGAUCGUGGUCAAGGUUGGCACCAUUGUGUUCGUGAAGCUCAGACGAGUCGAUUGGUACCCAUUUCAGGUAAAGAUACCUUCGAAAACCCUAGUUUUUCAUAACCCCCGAUUUGUGCAUUGUUCAUGCACACGUAAUUAUGGAUGGUUUUGGAAUUUGAAGCUUGUAGGAAGCUUAGUGAGGUCCUAAGGAAGCUCGAAGUGCUUCGUUUGAAGGUUUUGGACGUUGGGAUCGUGUGGAUGAAGUUUGGCCAGUUUUUCUUGGAAUUCUCCGGUGAGAUCCCGUGACUUUUAAAACUUUAAAUUAGUAUGAUUGUGUUCUACAAGUUAAGAGCUUCAUUUUGGUAUAAAUUGCGUAAAAAAUGGUGCAAAAAUGAGCAAUAAAUAGGCAGUUGCAGGUUUGCCCAAAAUCCGGUGCCGGUGACACUAUUCCAGCAUCUGGAGGUUGAAGAUGCCGCGCGUGGGGGGCGCGUUUUGCCAUGCCCUUGCCGGAUGAUUGUGUUCUACAAGUUAAGAGCUUCAUUUUGGUAUAAAUUGCGUAAAAAAUGGUGCAAAAAUGAGCAAGAAAUAGGCAGUUGCAGGUCUGCCCAAAAUCCGGUGCCAGUGACAUUAUUCCGGCGUCUGGAGGUUGAAGAUGCCGCGCGUGGGAGGCGCGUUUUGCCGUGCCCUUGCCAGCGCAUGGGAGCUUGAAAAUUUUAUCUAAAAAUUUAGGGAUGAUCCUGAGGUUGUAUAGGUCACUGUGGUGUAUUCAUAUACCUAUUUUGAGCAAUGUAUGAAAAGUUAUUAGUUAGUUUCACCUAUGUGCUUUAAAAUAACGUUUUUAUAGUUAAUUCGCAUAUAGGUGAGGCUUAUCCCAAGGACGAGCGUAUCCACGGGCGACUCGGGGGCUACGACCCUUCGACAUACCAGUGAGUGGGAUUUUGUUUUCAGUAUAUACUUAUACACUAGAUAUAUUUCCUAGAAAUGCAUUUUUUUCAAGGAAACUAUGCUUUGAAAUAGUAUGCCAAAUGCUUUUAUAUUCUGAAUAUGCAUUUCAUGGUUGCAUAUAUAUAUAUAUAUAUAUAUAUAUAUAUAUAUAUAUGUGGUGUUGUGGAGGCACAGGUAAGUUCAGGUAAGUUAUGUUUGGUUAUAUGAAUCAUCGAUAAAGUGAUAUGUGAUUGAAUAAUGUUGAGCUUAUAAAACUGCACCUAAGGUGAUUGUGAUUUAGCCAGAGAUGUGAAGUACAUGCCUGUUUAUUUACGUCACCUCCCGCACUAUAUGCUCAUAUUGGAUCUAAUUUAAGUGCACAGUUUUGUCGUACAGACCUUAUUUAUGGUUCCGACUCGUAGGUGACUAGCGAUUUAUCGCCCGGCUAUUAUGAGAGAGUAAAAUUGAGCAUAAUUAUAUUACACCCAAUCUUGUCUUACAGACCCCUUUUUAGUGGUUCCGACUUAUGUGCAGUACAUUGCCGUAUAGGUCAUUGUAGUGACUCCGGCUAGAUUGACUUUGAGCUAUGAAUUCAACCGUACAGACUAUCACAGGGGUUCCGGCUAACAUAUCAUAUUUCUAUGAAUUUAUUCUUACCUGAAUUGUUUACUCUGUUAUAACUUGGCAUAACAUACAUUUAAAUAUGAUUAUGUGAAGCAUGAAUUGAAUUGAUAUGAUUUCAUAUAUAUAUAUAUAUAUAUAUAUAUAUAUAUAUAUAUUAUGUAUAUGCUUAUAUCUUGGUUUUGGGAAAAAUUAUACAUGUUUGACAGCGAGGGGUUAGUAUAUUGAUAAAUGAAAUGGUUUUGUAAAACAUUUGUUUUUGCCCACUCACGUUUUCUGUUUUGCUCCCUUCCAGGUUUUAACUAAGCUUGCUGUUGGUGGCUUGAGGACGUCGGCAGUUUUGACUUAUCUAAAUAAUAGUAGGACAUUGCUGGUACUGUAUAGCUAGUACUUGUCUUACUGGACUACACCUAGACUUUAUGCUCUGAUUAGGAGUGUUUACUGUUGUAACUAACUUCUAUCACUUUCUGUUUAGUAGUGCACUCUAGUAAAUUGGUUUUCAAUUAUUCGUAUAAUUCUUAUCAUUAUCGCUUCCGCACUGUGCACAUGGCUACGCACCCUCACGUGACGGUCAUCAUGGCUUGAUCUCGGUCGGGGUGUGUCAAAGUAUAUAUAACCAAGACUAAAAAUAAUCCAACCUCACCCUCUAGAAUUUCAAAUCAUUUUCCAUCUGAGCAGUCCUCAGAUCUCUACCAACCCCAGCUACACACAGGUAACCACCAUAUACUUUGGUGGAAUCUCUUAUUAUGACCCUUAGACUUUAAUUAGGCAUGUAUGAUCAUCGAAGGACAUGAUCGAUCUAGGAUUUUGGUUAAUACUACUCUCACACCAUUUUGAUUUUUUUUAAUGUUUGUGGUACUACAAGCACUAUUAAAGUACCACAGCAUCCAUUUGUGGGAAAAUGGCAGUCGGUGGUGAUGGUUGUUGGUGGUUUAGUGCUCAAAAGCUCACCAAAGUUAUAUUGAUCUAUCAAUUGAGAAAGAGAUAGAGCCGUGGUUGUGUGAAAGGGGACCCGAAAAGGGAGGGGAUAAAGUGGUUAUCGAGUACAGUAGGGCAAGGGGAAAGAUUUUUCCUUUUAUUUUCAAUUAAAAAAUUAUAUUAAUAUUAUCACAUCCCAUGCUCGACUCCACCGUAGCACGAUAUUGUCCGCUUUAGGCCCCGACCACGACCACAUGGUUUUGUUUUUGUGAACUCACGCGAGAACUUCCUAGUGGGUCACCCAUCUUGGGAUUGCUCUCGCGCGAACUCGCUUAACUUUUGAGUUCCGAUGGAAUCCGAAGCCAGUGAACUCCCAAAAAGCCUCGUGCUAGGUAGAGAUGAGAAUAUACAUAUAAGGCUUAGAGGAUCCACUCCCCUGGGCGAUGUGGGAUGUUACAAUCCACCCCCCUUAGGGGUCCGAUGUCCUCGUCGGCACACUUCCGACUAGAGAUUGGCUCUGAUACCAAAUUGUCAUAUCCCGGCCCGGGCCCCCACCACAUCCCAAGCUCGACUCCAUCGUAACAUGAUAUUGUCCGUUUUGGGCCCCGACCACACCUUCACGGUUUUGUUUCUAGGAACUCACACGAGAACUUCCCAGUGGGUCACUCGGUUUUGUUUCUAGAAACUCACAUGAGAACUUCCCAGUGGGUCACCCAUCUUGGAAUUGCUCUCGCGCGAACUCGCUUAACUUCGAAGUUCUGAUGGAACUCGAAGCCAGUGAGCUCCUAAAAGGCCUCGUGCUAGGUAGAGAUAAGAAUAUACAUAUAAGGCUUAGAGGAUCCACUCCCCUAGGCGAUGUGGGAUGUUAUAAUCCACCCCCCUUAGGGGCCCGACGUCCUCGUCAACACACUUCCGACUAGAGAUUGGCUCUGAUACCAAAUUGUCACAUCCCGGUCCGGGCCCCCACCACAUCCCAGGCUCGACUCUAUCGUAGCAUGAUAUUGUCCGUUUUGGGCCCCGACCACGCCCUCACGGUUUUGUUUCUAGGAACUCAGGCGAGAACUUCCUAGUGGGUCACCCGGUUUUGUUUCUGGGAACUCACACGAGAACUUCCCAGUGGGUCACCCAUCUUGGAAUUGCUCUUGCGCGAACUUGCUUAACUUCGGAGUUCCGAUGGAACCCAAAGCCAGUGAGCUCCCAAAAAGCCUCGUGCUAGGUAGAGAUGGGAAUAUACAUAUAAGGCUUAGAGGAUCCACUCCCCUGGACGAUGUGGGAUGUUACAGUAAUAUCAAUAACUUAUUGUUGGGUUCGUUAAGCAAGUGGGCAAUUAGGUCCGUUUAUGAGAGCAUAGGUGAAAUCUUUCGAUGUCGACUAGCACAGCUCAAUUCGGAGUCCUAGUGGACAUUCUGGGUUGGUGUCCAAAAUCCACCACAAUCCACCAAAAUCUACAAACUAAAACUAUUCAAAUUCUUUAAAAUCCAUAUGAAUUUUGUAAAAGUCUUAAAUCCUCCUAAACCCUAUCAAAUUUAUCACUUUUAAAAUCCUUUAAAAUCUUAGUUUGACUACACCCCCUUAGUAUUUUAAAUUGGCUUUACUACAUUGCACAUUGAGAUGAAUUUUUAAAAUGUCCAUCUAGCUUAGCUAGCUACCAUGAAAGCUACAUGAAAGCUGACUGUCAAUUUUCCAAGGGUUUUUCCACAUGAAAUGGCAUGAAAUGGGUUAAUUUCACUUUAAAUAGUUGAUAUAAAAUGAAAACAAAAGUACAACUGGUUGAGAACCUUCCUUUCAUGUUCUCCGUAUCUUAGAGGAUAACAACAGUAGCAAGUUAGGCUGGAUCAAAUACAAGAAUGAACAUGAGAACGUGCAUGCAUGGUUACCUUUUCCUUUUGUUUUUUACAGAGAAUCUUGAGAAGCAGUCAAGGGCAACGUUAUGUUUUUACUACUGAGAUCUGUGUGCUAAAAGGAGAUUACGUAGCUAGGUUCAGUCUUCACCUAACACUCCUAUUAUCACUUGUGACUGUAAAAGAUAUACUGUUGGGGUUGGCUGACGUUAAUUAGUUGUUCAUAUUGAUUUGAGAAAUUUGAUAGAAAUGAGGAUUAACGAAUUACAAUUAGAGCUGGCAAAUAGUUGGGUUUAGUUGGUUUGGGUUAGAUUCACCACUAAUUGAUUUCUACACGGGUCAUUCAAAUUCAAUCCAUUAGCUUAUGCAAUGGUGGAGCGAUGAAUUUUUCACCGGGUGAGCUAGCUUAAAGAUUUAAAUAUUUAUAAAAAAAAAACAUGAUACUGUAUUUUCACCGUAUUAGCUAACUAAAGAAAAUUUUGACAAGGUGAGCCAAGAAUAAACAAAUACUUGUUUAAAUUCAAACAAAUCCAAACUUGUACAUAUACAAGAAUUGAUGAGAAAAAAAGAAUGUAAGAAAAAGAGAUGGUUUGUAAACUGUAUUUUAUAAUUUUAUAUAGUCAAACCGAGAGAAUUUGGAUCAGUGACUAAUAUAUGGUGGACUACAUUCGAAAAUUAAUAAAAAUUACAUGUCAAAUUUUAUUUUUGGGCUAUAGCCCAAAAUAGCCCUUAACAUGGCUCUGCCAGUGAGCUUAUGGUAAAAAUGGUUGACCCGAAAUGACUUGUUUUGUUAACGAGCUAAUCAUUUCAUCCAGUAACGAUUUUUUUUUUUUUUUUUUUUUUUUUUAACAUUCAGCUGAAACCCAACUAUUUCGCGAACUAUUUUAACGGGUCAACCGUUGGUCUAGUUUUGUACUUGCCAACAAAACAAAGAACAUAUGAAAUAGUAAAUUAUUUCAAAGUAAAUCAAAUAGCGACGUAGAUUAUAUAACAACGAGUAAUCGUUUUAACAAUUAAAAAUUUCUUUUCAUUGGUUCAUACAAUUUUCGAAUUGGUAUCAACUUUAGUGUUAUUGUAUGUUUGUACCAUAUUUGACCAAUCCCGAAAUUACUGAGCACCGGUCAACGUUAUACCGUCAAGGACCCAGAAGAGUUUCCCUCCAACUAGGAGGCCAAUCACAGCGUAACACGUGUCGACAUCAGAAGCCAAUCAUAGUGCGACACGUGUCAACAUCAAAAGCCAAUCACAACACGACACGUGUCAAUGUCAGAAUGAAACUAGAAACUCUCUUCUAUAAAUAGAGAUCAUUCUCUCAUAAUAUUUCCUAAUGUCAUUUGUACUAAAUCAUUCACCUGUACUCACUAAAGGAGAGCUUGAACCUAUGUACUUGUGUAAACCCUUCACAAUUAAUAAGAACUCCUCUACUCCGUGGACGUAGCCAAUCUGGGUGAACCACGUACAUCUUUUGUUUGCUUCCCUGUCUCUAUCCAUUUGCAUACUUAUCCACAUUAGUGACCGGAGCAAUCUAACGAAGGUCACAAACUUAACACUUUCUGUUGUACCAAAGUCCUCACUGAUUUUGUGCAUCAACAUAUGGCACCGUCUGUGGGAACGACACUUAUUCCCACUUUCUUCAGCUUUGCCAAGCUGGUUUCCACCAUUCGUACACUCUCUUUUGACCAGGCAUCCCUCUUCAACAUGGGGAGCGAAGGAAGCCACAGCAUACAGAAUGACACCCCUCAUGCACCUAGUGCGAAACAACAAAGGAAGGAAGGAAAGAGGGUUGCUCUUUAAGCUAAAUUCGAUGAGUUAGAAGCUCAGAAUAACAAGAUAGCAAUGAAGAAUGAGGUCCUCUAAGAGCAGUAUGAGAAGCUCUUUGAGACGCUCCACGAAACUAGGCGUACUCAAACACGUGAGCUCGUUGCCCCUAUGGACAUCAACCAUCAUCUGGGUGCCCCCCAACACGGAGGGUCACCUCCCUUCGACAUGGGUAUCCCUAAUGAGGAGCAAGCUAAUCAUCAAAACAUUGAUCAACAUGAGACUUCUCUCAACUCAGAUGUUUCGACCCGAAGUAGAAGAAAUGGAGGAAAACACCUCAUUGCAGAAGGGUUUGAAGGAUCAAAAGUCGUUUAUCGUGAUUGCCGAGACUUCCUAAAGCAACGUCGAGAGAAUCCCCUCCACAUAUGCUCGAAGAUCAAUGACCUAAGGGUUUCUGAAAGACUCGGUCCCUUCUCACGACCCAGGCCAGCUGCUAAUCUAGGGAAGGAAUGACAGGUCCCAGAGGAAUAUGAAGGUACGGAGGACUCUGAGGUAUUCCGAUAGACUCGUCCUAUAAGUCAGUACGGCGAGUCCAAGAAAAAACCACACGCCCUUACUCAAACUUUCCUACUUCCAAGAGGCGAUGGAAACUUACGAAAGAAAAUUCCAGUGGUACAUGACUUUACUCAGGACCCCCUUGUCCUUCAGCUUCUUGUGGAAGUAACCAAGUUGAAGGCCGAACGUCAGGCCGAGAUACCUGACUCGAACCAACCUAGGCAUGGCUCUCUCAUAAGAAGGAUCAUCGACACCCCCUUUCAAGUGAAGACAAAACAAAAGCUUAGUUUACAACUCUAUACUAGAAGGGAGGACCUAAUUGAACACCUUAACCUCUUUGAGGCCACCAUGGCAUAUCGGAUGCAUACUGACGAAGAGUAAUGUCUUCUCUUCCUCUCCACCCUCUCUGGCGGAGCUCUAAACUGGUAUUGCCAUCUUCCACCUGAGACAGUAGACUCAUUUGAGGAAUUGAGGAAACUGUUUGUCUCUCAACACAUCUUCCAGACCGAUCACUUGCAUUCUACGGAUGACUUGUACACUAUUCGCUAGAAGCCGGACGAGUCACUACGAGAGUAUGUCGGUCGCUUCAGCCAUGAGUAUUCUCGCUGCACUGAGGCAGAUGACAAGACCGCCCUCAAGGCCUUCAAGGCAGGCCUACGUGAUUGUUUCUUCAAGUACAUGAUCAAUGCCAACACUUGGAAGACUUACUCUGAGAUGAUGGCACAAGCUUACAACCACGCCUACGCCGAAGUAAAGACAUACCAAGGGAACCCCCAUAUGGUUAACCCCUAUCAAGAAAUGGGAAGUGGAAGUCAAGUUCUACCAAGUGAGGAGAUAUUAGCCUUUCAGACACCCAUUGCAUCAUCUCCUGCCUCAUUUAGCUACUCGCUAAGUCACCAAACGUAUCUGUCUCUUUGUAAGAGGAAGGAUUUUUACUCUCAGCAAGCCCAUUACAGCAAGAGGGAUAAAAGUUCGUAUCAAGACAACCAGGGGUGAACGUACCGUCGAUUAUUAUGUCUAUAGGGCCAUGCCUCACUCUUUCAAAGUGAAGGACUAGGUACUGAAGGAAAUGUUAUUAUAAGAAGGCAUACACAUUACAAAUGUUUUGACUCUUAACCGCUUGAGAUCUUUUGUCACACAAGCCAUUCGGCAAAUAUUUAAAGAAGAGGGAAUUCAUACAACUUCUUCUGAGUCUUUUGCGUUCCUAGCACUGGAACACUUGGUCUACAUUGACCUACCCUUAUACUCCAACUCAGAGCUUCAACAUGCGUACUUUGACACAAAGUAUGUGAUACUAAGUGUUACAACUAACAUGGUUCACAUAUCAAAAGCAUGGAUCCCUUCAUGCAUAGCAAAACAUUCAUCAGCAUCACACAUAUCAAUCAACAUAAACAUUAUACAUUCCAACACAUUCAUACAUAAACAUCAUACAUUCCAACACAUUCAUACAUAAACAUCAUACAUUCCAACACAUCCAUACAUAAGCCAACUGUGCUUCAAAAGGGUUCAACAUACUUUGUGUCUUCAACACUUGCUACAAUGUGCCUCGACACCUUGCCCUUAUUCUCACCAACCAGGUGAUGAAAUGUGAAGAAGGAACUCAUCUUCAUGCCACCAACCAAGUGAUGAAAUGUACAACCCGUACUCUAAUAUCAUUUGGCAACUUGCCACUCAUGCCACUAACCAGGUGAAGAAGGAACUCAUCUUCAUGCCACCAACCAGGUGAAGAAGGACCUCAUCUUCGUGCCACCAUCCAGGUGAUGAAAUGUCCAACCCGUACUCUCCUUCAUGCCACUAACCAGGUGAUGAAAUGUACAACCCGUACUCUAAUAUCAUUUGGCAACUUGCCACUCAUGCCACCAACCAGGUGAAGAAUGAACUCAUCUUCAUGCCACAAACCAGGUGAUGAAAUGUACAACCCAUACUCUCCUUCAUGCCACCAACCAGGUGAUGAAAUGUACAACCAGUACUUUAAUAUUAAUUGACAACUUGCCAUUCAUGCCACCAACCAGGUAAAGAAGGAAAACAUCUUCAUGCCACCAACCAGGUGAUGAAAUGUACAACCCGUACUCUCCUUCAUGCCACCAACCAGGUGAUAAAAUGUACAACCCGUACUCUAAUAUCAUUUGGCAACUUGCCAUUCAUGCCACCAACCAGGUGAAGAAGGAACUCAUCCUCGUGCCACCAACCAGGUGAUGAAAUGUGAUGAAAGGUGAUGAAGGAACUCACCUUCGUACCACCAACUAAGUGAUGAAAGCAACUCACCAUUCAUUCCACCUACCAGAAGACGAGUGGUACAACUUGUACAUGUGAACUCUUAGCAUUCACAAAUAAUCAAAAACCCUCAAGCUUGACAACUCAACUAGGGGAGCACUUAUGCCUAACAAGAGUUAUAGUCACCAAUAAAGUCUUAUUGCAAGCCAAUAACAACUUCAGUGCAUGGCAUACGAAGAUUAAGCUAUUCAGCCCUCUUGCAUCUGCUUCAAGCAUUUCCCCUCUGUAACAAUGCAAACACUACAACUCGUAGAAAGCUUCACACACUCUUGAUCAAGACAGUGUGAAGCAAAACCAAUUUAUGGUGCUAACAAGAGCUUCAUCAAAGAAGUUCAACCACAAUUCUUAAAAACUUCACACAUUUUUUAUCAAGACAGUGUGAAGCAAAACCAAUUUAUGGUGUCAACAAGAGCUUCAUCAACGGAGGGCAACUACAAUUCUCAAAAGCUUCACACACUCUUGAUCAAGAGAGUGAAGCAAAACUAAUUUAUAGUGCCAACAAGAGCUUCAUCAAUAGAGGGCAACCACAAUUCUCAAAAGCUUCACACACUCUUGAUCAAGACAAUGUGAAGCAAAACCAAUUUAUGGUGCCAACAAGAGCUUCAUCAAAGGAGUUCAACCACAAUUCUCAAAAGCUUCACAUACUCUUGAUCAAGACAGUGUGAAGCAAAACCAAUUUAUGGUGCCAACAAAAGCUUUAAAUUGGUGCCAACAAGAGCUUCAUCAAUGGAAGGCAACCAUAAUUCUCAAAAGCUUCACACACUCUUGAUCAAGACAGUGUGAAGCAAAACCAAUUUACGGUGCCAACACAAAUUUCAUCAAAAGAGUUCAACCACAAUUCUCAAAAGCUUCACACACUCUUGAUCAAGACAGUGUGAAGCAAAACCAAUUUAUGGUGCCAACAAAAGCUUCAUCAAUGGAAGGCAACUACAAUUCUCAAACCUUCGAAGCAAAUUCAAGACUGUUCGAAGCAAAUUCAAUUUAUAUGGUUCAUCCAAACCUUCGACUACUACAAGGUGUGGCUUGCAUCACAAUCUCUUGCUCAACAGUGUGGAAGCAAAAUUUGUAUAUGUUGUCUCUCCCACAUUUUUCAAAUUUCUAGUUUCCCAAAAAAAAAAAAUUGGGAAAUUCAACAAAGCUUCAUCAAUGGAGGACAACUACAAAUUCUCAAAAGCUUCACACUAUCUUGAUCAAGAUAGUGUGAAGCAAAAUCAAUUCGUGGUACCCAACAAAGCUUCACCACAAAAGCUUCACCAACAAAAGCUUCAUCAAUGGAGGACAACUACAAAUUCUCAAAAGCUUCACACUAUCUUGAUCAAGAUAGUGUGAAGCAAAAUCAAUUCAUGGUACCUAACAAAAAGCUUCAACUCCAAAGCUUCACCAAUAAAAACUUUAUCAAUGGAGGACAACUACAAAUUCUCAAAAGCUUCACACUAUCUUGAUCAAGAUAGUGUGAAGCAAAAUCAAUUCAUGGUACCCAACAAAAGCUUCAACUCCAAAGCUUCACCUACAAAGCUUCAACUCCAAAGCUUCACCUACAAAAGCUUCACACCCACAAUAGCUUCACCCACAAAGCUUCACCUACAAAAGCUUCACCCAUAAAAGCUUCACCAACAAAAGCUUCACCCACAAAAGCUUCACCCACCACAAAAGCUUCACCGACAAAAACUUCACCCAUAAAAGCUUUACCAACAAAAGCUUCACCCACAAAAGCUUCCACCACCAUAAAAGCUUCACCCACAAAAGCUUCCCCCAUCACAAAAGCUUCACCAACCACAAAAGCUUCACCCAUAAAAGCUUCACCUACAAAGCUUCAACACAAAAGCUUCACCUAAAAAAGCUUCACAUUAUCUUGAUCAAGAUAGUGUGAAGAUAGUGUGAAGCAAAAUCAAUUCAUGGUACCCAACAAAGCUUCAAUCUCAAAGCUUCACCUACAAAGCUUCAACAACAAAGCUUCACCUACAAAGCUUCAACAACAAAGCUUCACCUACAAAGCUUUAAAAUAUAUAUAUAUAUAUAUAUAUAUAUUUUUUUUUUUUGAAAUUCGAAAAUAAAAAAUAAAAAAAAAUUCGAAAAAUAAAAAAUUUCAAAAAAAAAUUCGAAAAAAAAAUUGCUUAGGCCUCCUUUUCUUUGGGCCUAACAACUUUCAUAACAAAUAUAUAUGAAGAAGGAGUUUUGGGCUACCACUUAGAAAGGAAAUGCCUCAUUCGUCAACUCCCUCGACCGGAGACUUAGGGGACUCCUACCAUAUGCUACUGCACCUUGAUACUCGGAAGUCUCACGACCACUCAGUGACUUGGAUUUUUCAAGUCUCCAAACGAGAAGUUUUCCUCACUCGGAAAAUUAAGGGAGCACUACCUCAACCUACAUGCUUCACUCACAAAGCUUCAACAUACAAGCUUCAACAAAAGGAAAAAUUCAAAGAACUUAGUGAAGAAGGCCUUGGUGUAUUUAACACAAUACGUUGAAAUGAAGCAAAGCUUGUUUAUUGAUAUCUCCGAUAAGUUACAAAUAUGUACAUAUACAUGAAUCAAAAUAAACAAACAAGAGGAGCCUUCACAAAGGUUGCUCAGGAGAAGUCUCAGCAGUCGGCAAGGGCCCCAGAAAGAGGAGGCACCAGAGGGUGAUUAUUCGGAGCCUCAGUACUAGGCAGAACCCCAGAAGGAGGAGGCACCGAAGGUUGAUCAUUUGGAGCUUCAUUACGCGGUACAGCCCCAGAAGACGAAGGCAAUAAAUGCCUUUGGAACAAACCCACAAACCUCUGAUGAUCAAGUAAAAUCUGACCAUCAGAUUCCUGCAGCUGGUCGAGCUUCCUCUUCAUGUUUGUAGCAUAGUCAUGUGCGAGCCUGUGCAACUGUUUAUUCUCAUGCUUGAGCCCUCUGAUCUCCUGUUUGAGACUUAUCACUUCAGCCGCCAAUGAUUCAACUUGGCGGGUUCGAGCAAAUAGGCGUUGGGCCAUAUUAGACACAGAACCUGCACACUGAACACUGAGAGCCAGAGAAUCCUUAACAGCCUUCAUCAGACCGUUUGGAAAGUAGUCUGUUAUCUUUGGGAGUGAGAAGGUUCCUGGCCACCACCGCAGCGGUCAUAUCAUUCUUCAUCACAGAGUCCCCAACGGUAAGAGGACCAGUAGGGGAUAAGAAGGAUGGGUGCCAUAUGUUGUCUUGAGAAGGCAUGGCUGCCUCUUCACCAAAGUUCAAGUCAAAACGACGGUCGGAUGGGCCAGACAUUCUCAGAAAUGAUGAAGGAGAAAUGAGGUGCAAUAAAUCUCUGAAGUAAGGGGAAAAUUCCUACAAGCAAUAACUCUCUGAAUGUACUUCUUGCACAUAAUUGGUGCCCUUAUAAAAGAAAGGGCAACAGGGCCGUUGGUUCAAAAAUCGAAGAGGCACCACUCUUCGGAUUCCAAAGAGGCACCACUUUCCACACGCAACAUCAGCUCCUCGGGUACCACAUAUAACUUUGCCAAAGAUCUCUGACAAAGUUUAGACACAUAAAUUUUAAAGGUCCAGCUAUCCUACUAUUACCCACAAGGGUAAAGGAACAACACCACUGCUUGAUAACUAGAAAGUCCCAAUGUGUGUCAACCUCCGUGCUCCGUGGCAAGGCAGACUGGCAAAAAUGCCCAACCUUUACUCACAUUUGAUAAAACACUCCCAACAAGAUUGCUUGCUCAAAAAUCGAAGAGACAUCGCCCUCCGAAUCUAGAUAGCCAGACUCCCAACAGGAUUAUUUUCUCAAAAAUCGAAGAGAUACUGCUCUCCGAAUCUCAAGAGUCAGACUCCCAACAAGAUUGCUUUCUAAAAAAUCGAAGAGGCACUGCUAUCUGAAUCUCGAGAGCUAGACUCCCAACAAGAUUACGUGCUCAAAAAUCGAAGAGGCACCGCCCUCUGAAUCUCGAGAGCCAGACUCCCAACAGGAUUACUUUCUCAAAAAAUCGAAGAGACUGCUUUCCGAAUCUCAAGAGUCAGACUCCCAACAGGAUUGCUUUCUCAAAAAUCGAAAAGGCAUCGUUAUCUGAAUCUUGAGAGCCAGAUCCUCGACAGGAUUGCUUGUUCGAAAAUCAAAGAGACACCGCUCUCUGAACUCCGAGAGCCAGAUUUCCUUGGAUAAAGCUUGUCUGCAAUCUUCACACACAACAUCAGUUUUCCAGAUACUACAAACCACUUUUUCAAAGUGCUCUGACAAAGUUAAAACACGUGAAGCUUGCAGCUCCCAUUACAUUGCUAUGACCAAGAAGGGUAAAGAAAUAGCACUACUACUUGUUAUUAGGGAGACUCAUAUAUAUAUCGACCUCCAUCCUCCACAACCAGGCAGACCUACAAAUAAAAAAAAAUGCUCAACUUUUCUUCACAUCCGAGAAGGCACCCUCAGCAGAGUCUCAUGAAAUACUCAGCUUUUUUUCCUCCCGAUAAUACCUCUGCAAACAAGCCACACCAGAGCAAGAGUAUCUCAUAUCAUCAGGGUUAAAAGCAAGAGUAUCCCAUAUCAUGCUUUUUCCCUGUUUUUUCCUUUGGCCUUGUUUUUACCUACAAGACAAGGAGAAAAAGAGCAAUCAGUCAGCGCUUGAAAUCAAGCUUCAAGUCAGGAACUACCUCUUGCCUGAUUACUUACCUGACAUUGCUCUCGAGUACUCAUCUUCAACAUCUUAUGCUUUCAGAGAAGAUACCAUAUCUGCCUGAGGAACAGAUAAGGCAAGUGAGAAGGAUACAAGGAAGCAAGUGGAGACAAGCGUAACAGAACACGUGCCGAUACAUCCACUACUUUGUCAACAACAAAAGUAUCCCAUAUCAUCAGGGUCGAACGUACUCUAGAUUUGAUGGACUUGUUUUGACCCUCAAAUUCUUGAGUCGGCCUUAUACUCUGGAGGAAACCAGAAAACCCUCCAGCCCAGUUCAAGAAUAAGCAUGUGGAAAGUUACUUCUUCAAAAGCAAAAGUAUCUCAUAUCAUCUCUUCUCCAUUUGUUUCUCCUUAUCCUUGUUGCUAUUUAAGACACAAGGAGAAGGAGAACAAUCAACCGGAAGCCGAAGUUGAACCUCUGAUCCAGGUUGCUUGCUUGGAAGUCUGAUUGCUUACCUUUUCUGUUACCUCUCUCGGCAAAUCUCCUAGCUCGACGACUUGGGGGACUCCUACUACAGGGUUUGUAUCGCACAUGACCAAGCUCGAAAUUACAAGUAAGCUUCAAGUGAAAUUGAUACAUUACCUUAUGCAUCUUCAUCGGUUAAAGAUACCACCCAUGGAUAGAGGAAAAGUACCUCUAGAGAAGAUGCCACAUCUACAUAUGAGACAGAUAAGACAAGUGAAAAUGAUACCACACUUCGGUACUUAGAAGUUUCGUGAUUACUUAAUAGCUUGGAUCUUGUAAGUCCCUAACCGAGGAGCUUCCCUUACUCGGGAGCUUAGGGGAUCACUGUUUGUACCAUACUUGACCAAUCCCAAAACUACUGAGCACCGGUCAAAGUUAUACCGUCAAGGACCCAUAAGUGUUUCCCUCCAACCAGGAGGCCAAUCACAGCGUGACACGUGUCGACAUCAGAAGCCAAUCAUAGCGCGACACGUGUCAACAUCAGAAGUCAAUCACAACACGACAUGUGUCAAUGUCAGAAUGAAACUAGAAACUCUCUUCUAUAAAUAGAGAUCAUUCUCUCAUAAUAUUUCCUAAUGUCAUUUGUACUAAAUCAUUCACUAGUACUCACUAAAGAAGAGUUUGAACAUAUGUACUUGUGUAAACCCUUCACAAUUAAUAAGAACUCCUCUACUCUAUGGACGUAGCCAAUCUGGGUGAACCACAUACAUCUUGUGUUUGCUUCCCUGUCUCUAUCCAUUUGCAUACUUAUCCACACUAGUGACCGGAGCAAUCUAGCGAAGGUCACAAACUUAACACUUUCUGUUAUACCAAAGUCCUCACUGAUUUUGUGCAUCAAUAUUGUACAAAUGAAAGGUAUGGUGACUAUAGAAGCUAAAAAUAAAUAAACAGAAAAUAAAGGAAAAGUGACAAAGAAAAAUAUUAGUUUGUGUCGUUCUCAUUGUAAUAGUCUGUCAUGUGAUAUAUUUUAUACAUUGUAAUAUGAACGAUGAGUAAGUGUUUUGUUUUUUUUGUCAAACAAUAUAUUUGUUAGAUUAGAGAAUUGACGGGGUUCGAAUCCACGUCGUGGUGCAAGGCCACCACUAGUCUCCACUACUGUGGUAGAGUGCCACUUGUGGUCAGUAAGUUAUUAAAUGGUGUGAGAAUUACACCAAAAUAUUCAUUAGUUUUGGAGUAAUGCUAGAGAGACUAAAUUUGUAGACAAAAUUUUAAAAACUAAAAGACAUAAAAGUUAAUGAUUGGUUUAUUACUUAAGUGUUAAUAAACAUGCUUAUUCCUAUUGGUGACACAUUAUUUAGUUUACAAAUUUUGUCUAUAAAUUUAGUCUCUGUGGCAUUACCCUUAGUUUUAGGCUUUGUAAUCAAAAUGGUCUUAGAGAUUGGUACAACUCUUUACUUUGGUCCCAAAUAUUGAAAAUUGAUAGAAGUAAUCCCUGAGUUUGUUCACCGUAAAUCAUUUUGGUGCAUCCGUGAAAAGUCUGUCAACACCAUCUUUAAAUUGUCAUAUGAGCGACCACAAGACAACCUUUUCCAUAGUAUUGUCAAACUAACUCCUUUUAUUAACCAAAAUGGUCGAGUUUGGUAUAACCUCUCAUUUUGAUUACUAACAAUGAAUAUCAAUAGAUGUGGUCCUUGAGUUUGUCUAUCGUAAAUCAUUUUGGUCAUUCUAUGAAAAAUUUAUCAAUAUACUCGUUAAAUUGUCAUGUGAGCGACCGCGUGAUCACCUUUUAAAGGGCAUUUUUACCAAACCAACCCCUCCACUUAACAAGAAUAUUGAUAGAGUUUUCAAGGAAGGAACAAAAUGAUUUACGAUGGUCAAACUCAAUGACCACUUCUAUCAGUUUUCAUUGUUAGGGACUAAAAUAAAGAGUCAUGUCGAUAUCAGGAACUAUUUUGGUUAAAAGGGGUUGGUUUGAUAAAAAAAUACAUUUAAAAGGGUGGUUACAUGGUCGCUCAUGUAACAACUCAAUGAUGAUAUUGAUAGAUUUUUUACUGAAUGAUCAAAAUAAUUUAUGGUGGAUAAAGUCAAAAACCACGUCUAUCGAUUUUGUAAUCUUAGAAACUAAAACGAAGAAUUAUGACAAUCUCAAAAAUCAUAAGUUUAACUAAAAACUCUUCUUGUUAUACAUCAAAAUUAAUGAAUGUGCUUUUGUAGAGGACGUAAAUGUGUCAACGAAUCAGACCUUCACUAGUUAAAACCAUCCCUACUAAUGCUGUUUGAAAAGUAAGUACUAAUAUGAUUAAUGAUUGUACAGAAAAAUAAGUACUAAUAUGAUUAAUGAUUGUACAGAAAAAAAUAUAUUAUCUGAACAGCUCAUCGUGCAUGUUGAUUGAUGUAAAGUGAAUUUUUUUUUUUUUGGUAAACUUGGGAAGGUGGAACUUGGGAAGGAAUUUCACAUUCUUGGGGUGAUCAAUAUAAUGAGAUUGUAAGUCUAGUUAAACAUGCUUAAUUAAACAUUUAAGCAUCUUUUAUUUAUUUGUUUUCAUUCUUUAUUCCUUCUUAAUUUGUUGUAAUUGUUUGGAACAACUAGCAAGACAAAUCUAGCUAGCUAGCAUUCACUGCACAAUGAAAGAUUAUUCGUAUUUGGAAAUGAAUAAUUAGUUAAAACCUGUAUUAUUAGGCAAAUGGGAUCGUAAAUAUUUGUAUCUUAAACCUUCACAGUCAGAGAUAUUCGAGUCAAUUAGUUAAAAGCUAUGAAAAUUGUGAAUGUGACAGACUACGUACUAAAGUCUGGAUUAUUUGAGAGAGAGAGAGACAUGAGUCUCGCAGCCGACUGGUCCCUCAUCUGAGCAGAAAGAACCAUAGAAAGUUAGGCAACCACGCACAUUUUCAAAGAUGUCGAUCAUGAAAAAUAUUUCACAAAUAAAUUCAGGGAAGACUUUCUGUUUAAAUUAUUAACCCAGAAAUAAAGCUCCAUCUCUUGGUAGCUAGCCUUUCUGCUACGUACUCUUGUUGCAUUAAACUAAACCUUAUUAAAGCAAAAAUAAUCACACCUUAGGUGAUAGGUUUAGGGAAAUGGUUAAUGAUUUUAGCAAGUUCUUGUUUAUUUUUUAAUUUUUAAUUUUUUUUUCUUUAAUCAAUUUAAAUGCUAAAAUUAAACAACGAUGUGCACCACAAAUAAGAGGGUGUGUGAAAAUUAUAUCUCUAUAUCUAGAGAAAAUUAUGGCAAUGGUUCUUUAACUUUAAUAAAAUUGAAGUAAUGGUCUCUCAAAUAAAAAUUUAUGAUCAUUGGUCCCUUAAUUCUUUCAAACAUGCAACUAUAGUCAUUUUCAUCAAUUCCAUAAGAACGUCCAUCAAAAUGAGUCACGUUUCAUGCAAUGAGGCUGAAUCGAAGGACAAAUAUGAAAAACCAAAUGAGAAAAAUUGUAGCAGUGGUCUCUCAACUCUAACCCAACUAGAGAAAUAGUCUCUCAACUUUAACUCAAUUAGAGUAAUGAUCCUUCAACCUUAACGUAAUUGUAGCAAUGGUUAUUCAAACAUAACUUAUUUUGACAGAAUUCUAACGGAGUUAACAAAAAAAUCAUAGCUGCACGUUUUGAUGAGUCAAGAGACCAAUGAUCAUGGAUUUUUAGUUGAAGAACAAUUGCUCUAAUUGGGUUAAAGUUGAGAGGCAAUUGCUACAAUCUUCUCCUAUAUUUAUUUAUUAUUAUCUACGUUUACAAUGAACCAUCUACUCCAUGAAGCAAGAUAUUAAAAAAGGACAAGGAUUGUCUGCCCUUCCAUUUUCCAUGCCCUCCUGUUUUGUGUGAUCACAGUUAAGCCACGUUAACAUUUUAUAUAUUUUUUAUAAAGAUAAUAAAACAAAAAUGAAUAGUAAUAUAAAAUAUUGACGUGGCUUAACCGUGACCACACAAACAAGAGGGCAUGGAAGGGCAUGGAAAAAGGAAGGGCAGACAAUCCUUUCCAUUAAAAAAAGGGCAGGGCUUAACAAAAUUCAGUCAAAGGCCUCCUUGAUCCAAACAUUAAUUGAUAAUCUAUUCAAACAGUGGCCCCAUUAGUCUUAUUUUAACAUUAAUCUUAUUUUUUACUAAGGUAAUUAAUAAUUGCAAGUGAAAUUUGGCAUGAUUACCGUGGUGUUAAAGGUAAAGACCAAAGCUAUAUAAAGGGUGAGAAGGCUUAGCUUAAGAGGCAGAAAUCCCAUUCUUAACAAAGAUGGGGAAAAUGGGGCCUUCACAAGUGACCUCUCUUGUGGUCACUAUACUAGUGGCACUAGUCUCUCUCACAUUGCCUUCAGAAACUUCAGCUAACUACCCUUACUCAUCUCCACCACCACCGGCUUCUCCUCCCUACCACUACAAGUCACCACCACCUCCUUCUCCUUCUCCUCCAGUGUACUCACCACCUAAGCAUCCCUACCACCCCAAGUCACCACCACCAUCACCAAAGCCUUACCACUACAAGUCCCCACCACCACCUCCUCCUCCAGUGCACUCACCACCCCCACCAAAGGAGCCUUACCACUACAAGUCUCCACCACCACCACCCAAGAAACCUCACCAUCACAAGUCUCCUCCACCACCACCCAGGAAGCCCUACCACCCGGUGCACUCACCCCCACCACCAAAGAAGCCUUACCAUUACAAGUCUCCUCCACCACCACCCAAGAAGCCCUACCACCCGGUGCACUCACCCCCACCACCAAAGAAGCCUUACCAUUACAAGUCUCCUCCACCACCACCCAAGAAGCCCUACCACCCGGUGCACUCCCCACCACCACCAAAGAAGCCUUACCAUUACAAGUCUCCUCCACCACCACCCAAGAAGCCCUACCACCCGGUGCACUCACCCCCACCACCAAAGAAGCCUUACCAUUACCAAUCCCCACCACCACCACCACCACACAAGAAGCCUCACCACCCAGUUCACUCACCACCUCCACCUAAGAAGCCUUACCACUACACGUCUCCCCCACCACCCCCUCCAGUCCACAAGUCUCCUCCACCACCAGUUCACUCACCACCACCACCACCUAUUAAACCUUACAAGCCACCAACACCUCCAACAGUUCACCCACCACCCGCUUACAUCUAUUCAUCACCCCCACCUCCUCACCACUACUAGAUAUUGAGAGCUUAGUUGCAUCCAGUUGGUAAGCCUCUCCAUUCUAUGUUUUUAGAUCAUAUCCAUACAACUGCAAGCAAUCGCCAAAUAAUUUGACAAAAAACAUCCCUAGCUAUAAAAUUAUAAUACACUAGUGUUUACUUCCUUUUUUGUCUAAUAAUCCAUAUUGGCAUAUGCAAGCUUAAUGCAUUUCCAGCAUAUCGUCAUUACUCAAUUAAAGUUUCUUGAUAUUUAGUAGUACUCAAGUGUAACAAAUAGACCAAUGACAGAGACCUAACAAGUAACAAUAAUAUAUAUAUAUAU
rnacentral:lncRNA from 1 species